CUUACCCAUCUUGGUUUAGAAUAGGGUCUCUUUACAGGCCUGGAAGUCACUGAAUUGCCUAGGUUGGCUCCCCCGGGAGCCCCAGGGAUCCACCUGUCUCCACCUCCCCAGAGAUGGGAUCACAAGUUCAUGUGACCACACUUGGCUUUUGUACUUUUGUAUCAGGGCAUAAAAAUCUGACCCUUAUGUGUAUUAUUGGGGGGUGGGGUGAGAACACACUUCCCACCUACCUCUGUCCCCAGCCCUCAUCCCCUUGAUAGGUUCUUUACAUACACAAAGCUUGACUUGCCUCAGGCCCAAAACAGAGAAGCCAGCAGACCUUGUCCUGAACUCUCUGAAACUGAUUCAAACUAAACCUUUGCUUCCCUCCAUGGGUUAUCUCAGAUGUGCUGUCCCAGUGACAUAAGGCUAACUGACACACCACUCUGUCUACUGUCUGCUCUGUGGCCUCAGUACCAACAACAGAGAACAGAUGGAGGCAGCUAGCUGGUUGGCAGCUCAACAUCCUCCCAGAAGGCCCGGGAGUCAUACUGUGAUCUGCAAAUCAGACUCCAUUAAGUGGUGGACUCAGACUUUGCCAACAACUUCUGGAUGCAGCUCUUGGGCAGCAUGAGAUGAACUCAGCACCAAGCUCCUUUGAUGCCUGGUCUGAAGCCAAGAAGGAUGCAAGGAUGCAGCUGAGGCCUGUAAGUGAACAUGGAAUGCAUGAGGUGGUGACCUCAGGGCCUUCACUGACUGUUGGACACAUUGGAUUUGUUGAAACAUGGUUGUUUUUAGUA